AAUAAGUGCAGUUUUGCACUAUUCACGUUUAACGUUUGACCGUUCGUCUUAUUUGAAAAUUUUUUAUGAUUAGUAUUUUUAUUACUAUUAGAUGAUAAAACAUGAAUAGUACUUUAUGUGUGACUAAAUAUUUUUAAAUUUUUCAUAUGACACGGAUAUCCACGACUGCAUUUAUU
rnacentral:pre_miRNA from 1 species